UUACCCGUGGUGCCGCGCGCGGGGCUGGCACUGACGUGGCCGCCGAGCGCCGCCAUCUUGUGUUGCCUGGGCGGAGAGCGGUCCGAGAGAGAGGCGCAAAGAGGGGGGCAGGCGGCUCCGAGCGGGACAACCCGAGGACAGCCAGACCCACUGCCCGGGGGCAGCCAAGCCGAUCGCCGACUUCACUGGCCAGUGAGAACAUAUCUCAAACAUGGGAAAUAUCUUCGCUAACCUCUUCAAAGGCCUUUUUGGCAAAAAA